rnacentral:lncRNA from 1 species
CAUAAAUCAUCAGCAGGGUCUGUACCUGGUAAGGACAACAGCUGGAUUAUAGGCAUCUCACUGGUAUGUUCCCAUCUGGCUUCAAUUCUUUUUACAUGCAAAUCUAUAGUGAUCCAGGUCCCACCAGAGACCAUUUGAAAUUCAGCCACAGCUGAGCCAGGUGCAGGGAACUCCAGGUGGGGGCACAAGGAGAGUUAAUAGGGCUCCCUCUUCCUCUCCUUUCUCAUUUAAAAAUAGCCCUCUUGCUGUAUUCCUGCUUCUGUCAGUUAAUGUCAGCAUCCCAUCCACAAGAUACAAUACAGAGUCUCUAUGCCCUGUGGAAAUUGGGAGAAUGCAUUCUUUCAUCAGUCUUCACAAAGUGCUCACAACUGGGAAAAAACAAAGAACAGAAAUAGUCACUGACUUUGGAACAGAGAUGAGGAAAUAAGAGGGACAUUAACUGCCAUCAAAGAAGCAGGACUUUUGUCAUCUCUGGAAGUAUUCUUUCACAUUUUACCAAGAUGAUUUCAGGAAAUGUCCAACAGUAGUAGUAACACGAAGGAACAGCUCUGUAAGUUCACUUUGCAAGACUAUGUGAACUGUCUUGGUUUCUUUCAAAUGCCUGUACAUCAUAUACCUGCUGGCAAUAAAGCUGUAAAUUAACAAGGGCUUACAGGUCUAAGAAGAGUUUUUGGACUUUUUACUUCUGAGGUUAUGAUGAUGGCUGCAUCAUAGCUAUUCCACUGCAUUCCAAUUACACUCAUCCCUCAGUGCAGUACGACACUGCACACUGUGCUAACACAGCAUGCCUGGCCAUCGGGCUGGAAACACUACCUGAAAGGACCAUUUUUCAGUGUGCAGAGCCUUCUACUGCUAAGGCACUCAUGCUGUGGCUAGGAGAUGUGAGCCAGCAUCGUGGUUUACAUCUCUGCAAGUUUUCCCUCCAAAAGUGAUGAUUGAACAGUUAAUUUUAGCUGAAAAAAAGUUCAAUAAAGAGUCAAAAAUAAUAAUGACCUUCAUAAAUAAAGCAGCGUGACUGAGAUGAGUAAUAUCUACUGCCUGACUACUGACUAGAUACUCCCAAACUACAAGCUAGCUAGUAAAAGAAAAAUAAAAGCAUAUACAGAACACUGUACAAGAGAGGCUAUCAGAACGAAACGUUUUAACUCUGUGCCACCUGUUUAAAUUGGUUUUGCAACCAUAAGAAUGAAUGGAAGCACCUCCGUAACCCCGGCGCUGGCCUUGCGACGCCAGGGCUGGCCGUGACUCCGCGGGGCGGUGCU